rnacentral:lncRNA from 1 species
AUGAAGCCACAGUUAUGGAUCUUUAUACACACUCUGCUUUUUCCUUUGUUUCUGACACAGUUUCCUUAUGCUGCCCCACCUCCCCAAGAACCUGUGAAGACUCUCAGAAGCCUGAUCAACAUCCGAAAGGACACACUGAGGCUGGUCAAAUGCGCCGAGGAAGUGAAGAGCCCUGGGGAAGAGGCCGGCAAAGCCAGAGUCCACUACAAUGUUGAAUUCACCUUUGACACGGAUGCUCGGGUAGCCAUCACCCUCUAUUAUCAGGCCACCGAAGAGUUCCAGAAUGGUAUUGCCAGCUACAUUCCAAAAGACAACAGCCUUCAGUCGGAGACUGUGCACUACAAGCGAGGGGUGUGUCAGCAGUUCUGCCUGCCCUCCCAUACCGUGGACCCCUCAGAAUGGGCAGAGGAGGAGGUGAGCGACCUCUGGUGAGGGCUCCUCACAUAGACUCCGGAGGGCCAGGGAGCUAGUUAGGACCUGGGCUGGCAGCAAAGGGGCUGCCCAGAUGCCUAAAGGCCAUGCUCGCCUUUCAGCCUUGUAACCUUGUCGUAUCUUUGACAGUUCUGCUUAUUUUACGUCCUCGAUAUACCUACUUUUAAUUUUUCUAUUCCAAAAUAAGCCAAUAGCCUAGAAUACUUUGAGACAGCCAUGCUCAAAUAAAAAACCCUGAAGGUUAGAGGUCUUUACAUCUAAGAGGUUUUUUUUUUUGUUUUUUUUUGUUGUUGUUGGUUUUUUUUUUUUUUUUUGAGACAGAGUCUCGCUUUGUUGUCCAGGCUAGAGUGAGUGCGUGGCGUCAGCC